UGCAAGAGAAUAGUGCAAAAGGCUGGUC
rnacentral:piRNA from 1 species